rnacentral:rRNA from 1 species
UACGAAGGGGGCUAGCGUUGCUCGGAAUCACUGGGCGUAAAGGGUGCGUAGGCGGGUCUUAAGUCAGGGGUGAAAUCCUGGAGCUCAACUCCAGAACUGCCCUUGAUACUGAGGAUCUUGAGUUCGGGAGAGGUGAGUGGAACUGCGAGUGUAGAGGUGAAAUUCGUAGAUAUUCGCAAGAACACCAGUGGCGAAGGCGGCUCACUGGCCCGAUACUGACGCUGAGGCACGAAAGCGUGGGGAGCAAACGGGG